AGUUUUUCGCAGGGGCAGUAUCGUAGCCAAUGAGGUUUAUCUGAGGCAUGUUUAUUGCUAAUUGAAAACUUUUCCCAAUACCCCGCCAUGAUGACUUGAAAUAUAGUUGACAUUGGCAACUUUUGGCAGUCUCUAUGGGA
rnacentral:snRNA from 1 species